rnacentral:rRNA from 1 species
GAGGGUGAUGCCUGCCCAAUGGUUGUAUCUAAAAGCGGUUGAUAAAAGUCGACCUUGUAAGGACAAUUGAAUGGCCGCGGUAACACUGACCGUGAUAAUGUAGCGUAAUCAAUAGCCAAUUAAUUGUUGGCCAGUAUGAAUGGCGCCACGAAGGCCCCACUGUCUUAAGGAAAUUCCCAGUGAAAUUGAAUUCGUAGUGAAGAUGCUACGUCCAAUUUGUUAGACGAAAAGACCCCGUUGAGCUUUACUGGAGCACUUAUAUGGCCCCGGCCUUCCCAUGCCUGGGAACCGGCCGAAUUUAAAUGGGCGGCUUAGAUUAUGUGGCAGCCCCCCGCUGGGGCAAAUGAAACACCACUCCCCCAUGUCAAAGGGGCUAACCCCCCCCUUGGGGGGGACAGUGUAAGUAGGACAGUUUGGUUGGGGCGACCGCCUUUUAAAAGUAACGAAGGUGCGCUUAAGGUGUGCAAUUAAUGACUGAAGCCUGACUGCGAGGGGGGUACCCCGAGCAGACACCCCUAAGCCCGCCCG